GUCCCCAAUAUACCGUACAUAAGCAAAUAAUCUCUUCUCCCCAUCUGAAGAGAACUCAAGGCAUUAGGGUACCGGUUGAGGAAGAACCACACAAGCCGACGGGUGCUCGUCAUCCGAUAUCUCUCUCUUUGUGUUUCAGGAGUGCUACGUGUCACAUCAUCAACGGUUAGUAUCUAAUGGAUUCUUCUAUCCAGGUAUUCCUAAUACUAAUCCUUGAUAAAUCAACAUGUCGUAGAUCCUGUUUUAUAUACAUGCUCAAAUAUUUAUUUAGCUUCCGCACUAAAGUAAGAUUAUGGUUUUAAUCUUUGUUAUUGAGAGCAUGUUUUAUGAUUAAUAUUAAGUUAAAUUCCAACAUUAGCAACUACCAAACACAAUACACAUGGCAUGAACCGAAGAUUAAUUUGCAAACAUAAGCACAUAUCCAUCAAUUCAAUUAUCACAAGCUUAUAUGUACAACCGACGCACGAAAUUAUUUAUUUACUUUUUAUAAGGCUGAUUCCAUUGGUUCAUUUUAAGUGGCAAAAGUUAUAAUAUUAUUUCACAACAUAAUCCUACGUAGCAUGAGUUUAUGGGGAAAAAGUCCUUACCUUGUGUGCUUUCUUCCAAUCACUAUACUAGCUUAAAUUUGCAUUUACAUUGCACAUGCGAUAACCCACGCUCCAAAGUUCGAUUCGACAAUCCGACGGUAGACGAAGGAGAGAACGUGAUUCUAUGAUUGCAGCUAUGAAUUGAAUUCGGAAAGAAUGAGGUUAAGAAUAAAACUUGAUGAUAACUUGAAAUGAUGAAGGGAACUAGCUUUACAUGAGUUUGGUUUUG
rnacentral:lncRNA from 1 species